rnacentral:rRNA from 1 species
CUACGGGUGGCUGCAGUGGGGAAUUUUGGACAAUGGGCGAAAGCCUGAUCCAGCCACUCCGCGUGCAGGAUGAAGGCCCUCGGGUUGUAAACUGCUUUUGUACAGAACGAAAAGGUUUCUACUAAUACUAGGAGCUCAUGACGGUACUGUAAGAAUAAGCACCGGCUAACUACGUGCCAGCAGCCGCGGUAAUACGUAGGGUGCAAGAGUUAAUCGGAAUUACUGGGCGUAAAGCGUGCGCAGGCGGUUAUAUAAGUCAGAUGUGAAAUCCCCGGGCUCAACCUGGGAACUGCAUUUGAGACUGUAUAGCUAGAGUACGGUAGAGGGGGAUGGAAUUCCGCGUGUAGCAGUGAAAUGCGUAGAUAUGCGGAGGAACACCGAUGGCGAAGGCAAUCCCCUGGACCUGUACUGACGCUCAUGCACGAAAGCGUGGGGAGCAAACAGGAUUAGAUACCCGCGUAGUC